rnacentral:rRNA from 1 species
AUUCCAGCUCCAAUAGCGUAUAUUAAUGUUGUUGCAGUUAAAAAGCUCGUAGUUGGAUUUCUGAUGGGAUCGACCCGGUCGGCUCCGAAAGGGGUCGCACUGGUGGUCUGUCCGGUCAUCCUCGAGGGGAGGCUUUCUGGCAUUCAUUUGUUGGGGAGUCGACGCUCGUCGUUUACUGUGAACAAAUUAGAGUGUUCAAAGCAGGCUUAGGCCGUUGAAUACAUUAGCAUGGAAUAAUGAGAUAGGACUUUGGUGGUCUAUUUUGUUGGUUUGCACGCCGAAGUAAUGAUUAAUAGGGGCGGUUGGGGGUAUUCGUAUUCAAUUGUCAGAGGUGAAAUUCUUGGAUUUAUGGAAGACGAACUACUGCGAAAGCAUUUACCAAGGAUGUUUUCAUCA